CCUACGGGAGGCAGCAGUGAGGAAUAUUGGUCAAUGGGCGCGAGCCUGAACCAGCCAAGUAGCGUGAAGGAUGACUGCCCUACGGGUUGUAAACUUCUUUUAUAAAGGAAUAAAGCGAGGCAUGCAUACCCUCUUGUAUGUACCUUAUGAAUAAGGAUCGGCUAACUCCGUGCCAGCAGCCGCGGUAAUACGGAGGAUCCGAGCGUUAUCCGGAUUUAUUGGGUUUAAAGGGAGCGUAGGUGGAUUGUUAAGUCAGUUGUGAAAGUUUGCGGCUCAACCGUAAAAUUGCAAUUGAUACUGGCAGUCUUGAGUACAGUAGAGGUGGGCGGAAUUCGUGGUGUAGCGGUGAAAUGCUUAGAUAUCACGAAGAACUCCGAUUGCGAAGGCAGCUUACUGGACUGCAACUGACACUGAUGCUCGAAAGUGUGGGUAUCAAACAGGAUUAGAUACCCGAGUAGUC
rnacentral:rRNA from 1 species